rnacentral:rRNA from 1 species
UACGUAGGGGGCAAGCGUUGUUCGGAAUCAUUGGGCGUAAAGAGCGUGUAGGCGGCCAGAAAAGUCCGCUGUGAAAACUCGAGGCUCAACUUCGAGCUGUCGGUGGAAACUUUCUGGCUAGAGUCCGGAAGAGGAGAGUGGAAUUCCCGGUGUAGCGGUGAAAUGCGCAGAUAUCGGGAAGAACACCCGUGGCGAAGGCGGCUCUCUGGGACGGUGCUGACGCUGAGACGCGAAAGCGUGGGGAGCGAACAGG